rnacentral:lncRNA from 11 species
UCACAGCCUGGGAGCAGCAACUGGGAAGUCUCUCUUCUGAUUCUCCACCAACCUCCUGUGAAGGUGAUGGGAUGAAGAGAAAGUCAUCACCUGUAGGUUUGAAGACCCAACCUAUACAGCCCAUGUAGUACUGCCAUAAGGAAGGGAGCCGUGGGUGUGACCAAUCACAGCCAUCUUAACUGUAGUUUGGAAAGGCCAAGCCCCCAAUGAUAGAAUAUUGCAAAAGGCCCUGCUGUAACUACAUUUCCCAGAAUGCGUUGGACUCGAAUGAGGCUGAAGGCUGGCCUCACAUUCAUUCUAAAUGAAAUAAAUACCCACAAAAAGGACAAAAGUAGCAAUGCAUGUCUGCCUGGGUAGACAUCAGCAGAGUUCCUGAACUUGGUUCCUGAACACUGUUUAUAAGAGGAAAUUCCAGCAGGUGUGGCAUGCAGUAUGACACACUUCAGUAGCUGACAUUCCGUCUUCUAUUCAACUCUUAAAUGUCCAGGAGUCCUACCCUCCCUUUCUCACCUGGCCUCCCUAUUAUCAUUACAGUUUCCACAGCUAUUAGGUCACAGCCCAAAGUGAAUCUUGGAAUGAUGGGCCAAGGGAGAUGAGAAAACAAAUUCAGCCUAGAUCAC